GAAAGGCUCCGGACCAGCUAUCGAUAAAUUGCGUGUUUUCAUGUUUACUUUAAUAACAGCGCAAGGCUGGCAAACAGCAAUUGCCUGGUGUAAACGUAUGUGUCAUGCAUAGGUCAGUGCUAAUAAAAGACGAUUACGCGAAUCUGGCACACACCAGAGGUUAUCUGAUGCUGGUCUUUCUUAAUGCUUCAAAACUUAUUACACCGCUCUUAGUGAACACUCUUUCAAUGAUGUGACUCUGACUCCCUCAAAGUCUUUUCUUCUGUGGUUACAUUGAGAU